rfam:Schistosoma curassoni strain Dakar, Senegal genome assembly, scaffold: SCTD_scaffold0003580
AUCCAGCUGACGAGUCUCAAAUAGGACGAAACGGGCGUCUUGGAU